AGUCAAGUAAUUAAGUGCAUGUGGUGGAUGCCUUGGCAGUCAGAGGCGAUGAAAGACGUGAUAGCCUGCGAAAAGCUCCGGGGAGGCGGCAAAUAUCCUUUGAUCCGGAGAUGUCUGAAUGGGGGAACCCACCUACUUUAAGGUAGGUAUUGCAACAUGAAUACAUAGUGUUGCAAGGCGAACGAGGGGAAGUGAAACAUCUCAGUACCCUUAGGAAAAGAAAUCAAUUGAGAUUCCCUCAGUAGCGGCGAGCGAACGGGGAUCAGCCCAUUAAGUUAUGUGUGUUUUAGUGGAACGCUCUGGGAAGUGCGAACGUAGAGGGUGAUAUUCCCGUACACGAAAGGGCACACAUAAUGAUGACGAGUAGGGCGAGGCACGUGAAACCUUGUCUGAAUAUGGGGGGACCAUCCUCCAAGGCUAAAUACUCCUGACUGACCGAUAGUGAACCAGUACCGUGAGGGAAAGGCGAAAAGAACCCCUGUGAGGGGAGUGAAAUAGAUCCUGAAACCGCAUGCAUACAAGCAGUGGGAGCACCUUCGUGGUGUGACUGCGUACCUUUUGUAUAAUGGGUCAGCGACUUAUAUUCAGUAGCAAGGUUAACCGUAUAGGGGAGCCGUAGAGAAAUCGAGUCUUAAUAGGGCGUUUAGUUGCUGGGUAUAGACCCGAAACCAGGCGAUCUAUCCAUGAGCAGGUUGAAGGUUGGGUAACACUAACUGGAGGACCGAACCCACUGUCGUUGAAAAGCCAGGGGAUGACUUGUGGAUAGGGGUGAAAGGCUAAUCAAGCCUGGUGAUAGCUGGUUCUCCCCGAAAGCUAUUUAGGUAGCGCCUCGGACGAAUACCAUAGGGGGUAGAGCACUGUUUCGGCUAGGGGGUCAUCCCGACUUACCAAACCGAUGCAAACUCCGAAUACCUAUGAGUACUAUCCGGGAGACAGACUGCGGGUGCUAACGUCCGUAGUCAAGAGGAAAACAAUCCAGACCGCCAGCUAAGGCCCCAAAAUCAUAGUUAAGUGGGAAACGAUGUGGGAAGGCAUAGACAGCUAGGAGGUUGGCUUAGAAGCAGCCACCCUUUAAAGAAAGCGUAA
rnacentral:rRNA from 1 species